rnacentral:misc_RNA from 1 species
ACCUCACGGAUUGCCCAGUAAACGGCGAGUGAAGCGGUACAGCUCAAAUUUGAAAUCUGGCCUAGGCCCGAGUUGUAAUUUGCAGAGGAUGCUUCGGGCGCGGUGCCUUCUGAGUUCCCUGGAACGGGACGCCAUAGAGGGUGAGAGCCCCGUACGGUUGGACACCUAGCCUGUGUGAAGCUCCUUCGACGAGUCGAGUAGUUUGGGAAUGCUGCUCAAAAUGGGAGGUAUAUCUCUUCUAAAGCUAAAUACCGGCCAGAGACCGAUAGCGCACAAGUAGAGUGAUCGAAAGAUGAAAAGCACCUUGAAAAGGGGGUUAAACAGCACGUGAAAUUGUUGAAAGGGAAGGGCCCAUGACCAGACUUGUGCCCGGCGGAUCACCCAGCGUUCUCGCUGGGGCACUCCGCCGGGUCCAGGCCAGCAUCGGUUCUCGCCGGGGGAUAAAGGCUCUGGGAACGUAGCUCCUCCGGGAGUGUUAUAGCCCUCUGCGUAAUACCCUGGCGGGGACCGAGGUACGCGCUCCGCAAAGAUGCUGGCCUAAUGGUCAUCAGCCACCCGUCUUGAAACACGGACCCAAA